UAAAAAGAAUCAUCAUUCUUGAAAAAGGAUGGCCCCCAUACAUUUGAUAUGACUAAAUUAAUGAUGAAUACUGAGGUUCUAAACUUCUUUCUCAUUUCUUCUUGGCAAGGAGCCUGAGAUGAAGAUCCAUCUUCAUCUUUAGAGAUAUGUCUAUACGUGUGUGAGUUCUUUUUUCUCUCCCCUCCUUUACUCUCUCCCAUGAUAUUUAUACAAAAAUACUUUCUUUACCCAACGAUUCUUAACCGAAGUACCUAUGUUCUUGGAAUGUCCUGUAGAAUAUUUCUCUAAAAUAUCUAAGUGUUGAACUAGCCGUUCAGGCCGAACUGAAUGCUCGACCUCGACUGUAGCGGAAUCACUCAUUGGUAUAUCACUUCCCAUACGUGACCUUGGCUAUGUUGAAUCUUGAUCGUCCUUCCUUAAGCAAGAUUCUUCUGUUCAUAUUUUGACCUACACACCAUCAACUCAAGGAUAACAUCUGACUAAUCAAAAUUCAUGACGUAUAAAGUUUAUUAAAGAAGAAAUAUUUUUUACAAUUAAGAGUUUUUAUCAUUUCAUUAGUCG
rnacentral:lncRNA from 1 species